rnacentral:rRNA from 1 species
CCUACGGGGGGCAGCAGUGGGGAAUAUUGCGCAAUGGGGGGAACCCUGACGCAGCCAUGCCGCGUGAAUGAAGAAGGCCUUCGGGUUGUAAAGUUCUUUCGGUAUUGAGGAAGGAGUGUAUGUUAAUAGCAUACAUUAUUGACGUUAAAUACAGAAGAAGCACCGGCUAACUCCGUGCCAGCAGCCGCGGUAAUACGGAGGGUGCGAGCGUUAAUCGGAAUAACUGGGCGUAAAGGGCACGCAGGCGGUUAUUUAAGUGAGGUGUGAAAGCCCUGGGCUUAACCUGGGAAUUGCAUUUCAGACUGGGUAACUAGAGUACUUUAGGGAGGGGUAGAAUUCCACGUGUAGCGGUGAAAUGCGUAGAGAUGUGGAGGAAUACCGAAGGCGAAGGCAGCCCCUUGGGAAUGUACUGACGCUCAUGUGCGAAAGCGUGGGGAGCAAACAGGAUUAGAUACCCUGGUAGUC